CGCAUGGCGGAGCUACACAUGCAGUCGAGCGAGAACUUCGGUUCUAGCGGCGGACGGGUUAGUAACGCGUGGGAACGUGCCCUUCACUACGGAAUAGUCCCGGGAAACUGGGUUUAAUACCGUAUACGCCCUUCGGGGGAAAGAAUUUCGGUGAAGGAUCGGCCCGCGUUAGAUUAGAUAGUUGGUGGGGUAACGGCCUACCAAGUCUACGAUCUAUAGCUGGUUUUAGAGGAUGAUCAGCAACACUGGGACUGAGACACGGCCCAGACUCCUACGGGAGGCAGCAGUGGGGAAUCUUAGACAAUGGGCGCAAGCCUGAUCUAGCCAUGCCGCGUGAGUGAUGAAGGCCUUAGGGUCGUAAAGCUCUUUCGCCAGGGAUGAUAAUGACAGUACCUGGUAAAGAAACCCCGGCUAACUCCGUGCCAGCAGCCGCGGUAAUACGGAGGGGGUUAGCGUUGUUCGGAAUUACUGGGCGUAAAGCGCGCGUAGGCGGAUUGGAAAGUUGGGGGUGAAAUCCCAGGGCUCAACCCUGGAACUGCCUCCAAAACUAUCAGUCUAGAGUUCGAGAGAGGUGAGUGGAACUCCGAGUGUAGAGGUGAAAUUCGUAGAUAUUCGGAAGAACACCAGUGGCGAAGGCGGCUCACUGGCUCGAUACUGACGCUGAGGUGCGAAAGUGUGGGGAGCAAACAGGAUUAGAUACCCUGGUAGUC
rnacentral:rRNA from 1 species